rnacentral:tRNA from 14 species
GGGGCUAUAGCUCAGGUGGUUAGAGCGCACCCCUGAUAAGGGUGAGGUCGAUAGUUCGAGUCUAGCUAGCCCCAC